rnacentral:tRNA from 1 species
GGAGUUGUGGCUCAGUGGUAGAGCACUUGCCUAGAAUGUGUGAGGCAAUGGGUUUGAUCCUCAACACCA